AACGAACGCUGGCGGCAGGCCUAACACAUGCAAGUCGAACGGGAUCUUCGGAUCUAGUGGCGGACGGGUGAGUAACGCGUGGGAACGUGCCCUUUGGUUCGGAAUAGCCCCGGGAAACUGGGAGUAAUACCGGAUAAGCCCUACGGGGGAAAGAUUUAUCGCCAAAGGAGCGGCCCGCGUUGGAUUAGGUAGUUGGUGAGGUAAUGGCUCACCAAGCCGACGAUCCAUAGCCGGUUUGAGAGGAUGAUCAGCCACACUGGGACUGAGACACGGCCCAGACUCCUAUGGGAGGCAGCAGUGGGGAAUCUUAGACAAUGGGGGAAACCCUGAUCUAGCCAUGCCGCGUGAUCGAUGAAGGCCUUAGGGUUGUAAAGAUCUUUCAGUGGGGAAGAUAAUGACUGUACCCACAGAAGAAGCCCCGGCUAACUCCGUGCCAGCCGCCGCAGUAAUAC
rnacentral:rRNA from 1 species